AUUGAACGCUGGCGGCAGGCCUAACACAUGCAAGUCGAACGAGUGGCGGACGGGUGAGUAAUGUCUGGGAAUCUGCCUGAUAGAGGGGGAUAACUACUGGAAACGGUAGCUAAUACCGCAUACUAUCGGAUGAGCCCAGAUGGGAUUAGCUAGUAGGUGGGGUAAAGGCUCACCUAGGCGACGAUCUCUAGCUGGUCUGAGAGGAUGACAAGCCAAACUGGAACUUGAAAACGGGCCAGAAUCCUACGGGAGGCAGCAGGGGGGAAUCUUGCGCAAUGGGGGAAAGGCUGAUCGAGCAAUGCCGCGUGUGUGAAGAAGGCCUUCGGGUGGUAAAUUACUGUUAGAAGGGAAGCGGUACCAGAAUAGUAAGCACCGGCUAACUACGUGCCAGCAGCCGCGGUAAUUC
rnacentral:rRNA from 1 species